ACAAACACCCGGUCUUUCAGAGCUUGGAAAGUAACUCUCACAUGAAUAUGCUCUCCCAACACCUAAACAUGUUUUUUAGGGGGGGCUGGCUGGCUCAAUCGGUAGAGCACGUGACUCUCAAUUUUAGGCUUGUGAGUUUGAGCCCCAUGUCAGGGGUAGAGUUUACUUUUAAAAUAAAUAAAUUUUAACUAAGUAACUAACUAAAUAAUAAAUUAAAAACAUGCUUUUUUUAAAAAAAAAAUUGUUCUUUUUAAAGUAGGCUCUAUACCCAACGUGAGGCUUGAACUCAUGACCCGGAGGACAAGAGUCACAUGCUCUUCUGACUGAGCCAGACAGCCACCCCAUAAAACCACAGUUUAGUUUCCUUAGCUAGAAAAUGAGUAUAGUACUUGCCCUGCCUUCCUCACUGGACACUGAGGUCAAGCCAGAGGAUGCAAAGGAGACUUAUUUUCAUACAAGAAAACCUACCUCCCCCCCGCCCACCCACACCCACACACACACCCUUCCAUCCACCAAACAAGAUGAAAGCCAUGAGCAUGAGCACACUUAUCCCGGGUAACAGGAGAGACCAGACUUGGGCCACAGAAGCAGCAGUCAGAAAAAAGGUGACUACAUCAGGCACAGAGCCCAGCUCAAAUCUAAGUUCAAACGCAAAAUACUUGAGUUCCACAAAAGCUGAGCUGAGUACAGCUGGGCCAGCCCCUCUCCCCAGGGGCUCCCCGGUCUUCCCUUCGGAGCUCGCCAGCCCUGGUAGCCGGCCCUUAGCACACGCAGGGACCGAGUAAAACGUGACAGGCCAAUGGCACUGCCUGGAUGGAGAGGAAACUUUGGUUUUGCUGUUUUCCUGGCAACUCCAGGCCCGCAUCAGAAAAUCUCUUCCCCUCCCUUCUUAGGACAUCUCCCAUGGCAUACACUCAACUGUGCACAAGACGGUGCUGGGAUGGCGCCUGGCCUUGGAUUAACUGAGCUGCUGUUGUACGCACUGCUGCACCUGGCACCUCAGACAGGCUGCGAGGACGGAAGCGGCAGCAGGUAAAUUAUCCCUAACAAGGUUCAUGCCCACAAGUGCGAGAAAAGCCGGAUCCUGGCUCUCCAGAAGACGACCCUUCCUUCAGCAGUGGACUAGCGCGGCACACACAGUGCCGGAGAGCUGCGGCCCCCGGCUCUGAACCGUUAUUUCCACGCUGAUAAAUUCAUGAUUUAUGAAAGCAACUACUGCCAGCCCUCCCUCCCUCCUCCUCUGCUACAGCUUGUUAGACACGAAUGGCAACAACCGUCUUAAAUACUUGGAAUUUUAUUUCAGGCCAAAGCCCCUCAACUCUGAACUAAAUGCCAUGACAGUCCCACAGCACAGGCUGGUGUUAAAGGAGCCCGCAGACAGGGCGCGGUGGCCAGAGGAGGGGGGGGUGGGCGAGAGGAGAACCGCACACCCACACCCACACCCACACCUAAGCGCCACGCAAUGCACACCGCCAGCGGCACUCGGCUCCUACCCGCUCGGCUCUCCACGGAGAGGAAUUAUGGCAGCAGGAGGGCAGAACGCCUCAUUGUG